GAAAUGCGAUAAGUAGUGUGAAUUGCAGAAUUCAGUGAAUCAUCGAAUCUUUGAACGCACAUUGCGCCCCUUGGUAUUCCAUGGGGCAUGCCUGUUCGAGCGUCAUUUGUACCCUCAAGCUUUGCUUGGUGUUGGGCGUCUUGUCCUCUUCUGGAGGACUCGCCUCAAAACAAUUGGCAGCCGGCAUAUUGGUAUCGGAGCGCAGCACAAGUCGCACUUCUUUCCAUGAAUGUUGGCAUCCAUCAAGACCAUUUUUUCACUCUUGACCUCGGAUCAGGUAGGGAUACCCGCUGAACUUAA
rnacentral:misc_RNA from 1 species